GUGGGGAAUAUUGCACAAUGGGCGCAAGCCUGAUGCAGCCAUGCCGCGUGUAUGAAGAAGGCCUUCGGGUUGUAAAGUACUUUCAGCGAGGAGGAAGGUGUUGUGGUUAAUAACCGCAGCAAUUGACGUUACUCGCAGAAGAAGCACCGGCUAACUCCGUGCCAGCAGCCGCGGUAAUACGGAGGGUGCAAGCGUUAAUCGGAAUUACUGGGCGUAAAGCGCACGCAGGCGGUCUGUCAAGUCGGAUGUGAAAUCCCCGGGCUCAACCUGGGAACUGCAUCCGAAACUGGCAGGCUAGAGUCUUGUAGAGGGGGGUAGAAUUCCAGGUGUAGCGGUGAAAUGCGUAGAGAUCUGGAGGAAUACCGGUGGCGAAGGCGGCCCCCUGGACAAAGACUGACGCUCAGGUGCGAAAGCGUGGGGAGCAAACAGG
rnacentral:rRNA from 1 species